CCGGUACUCAGUUCGGAUCGCAGUCUGCAACUCGACUGCGUGAAGGUGGAGUCGCUAGUAAUCGCGGAUCAGCAACGCCGCGGUGAAUGCGUUCCCGGGCCUUGUACACACCGCCCGUCAAGUCAUGAAAGUGGGCAGCACCCGAAGACGGUGGCCUAACCCUUGUGGGGGGAGCCGUCUAAGGUGAGGCUCGUGAUUGGGACUAAGUCGUAACAAGGUAGC
rnacentral:rRNA from 1 species